rnacentral:rRNA from 1 species
AAACCGUUGAAAKGGAAGCGAAUGGAGUUAGCAAUUCGCCCUGCCASAUUCAGUUGCUCGUGCUCCGCGACGUGCGCGCUYUCGAUCCGCAUGGACGAGACGUGCGCGGGUGCGGCGCYCGGACGGCGCACUUCUGGCGGGCGAGCGUCAGCGUCGGUUGUCGACGGGCGACAAGGAUGCAAGGAAGGUGGACCGGUCUUCGGGCCGGUUGUUAAGCCUUGUGCUCGUAUAGCUCGACGGCGACCGUGGCUCCGAAGAGGCGACGCGUGCCUGGCUGGCGACUCGAACGAUCGGUCUGGCAUGUCGACUGUGGCGGACGGCACGCCUGUGCGCUCGAACUGCUGCCGGUCGAUCGUGCGAUGUUCGCACACUACGCGUCGAAGAUGCUGACGACMAUACGGCUCCAUCCGACCCGUCUUGAAACACGGACCAAGGAGUCUAACAUGUGCGCGAGUCUCCGGGUGAUCGAAACCCGUGGGCGCAAUGAARGUAAAGAUCGUCCUAGACGAUUGAGGUGAGAAGCAGGUGCCWCGGCGCUUGCCGCAUCAUCGACCGACCUAUUCUGCUCUCAGAAAGGUUUGAGUAAGAGCGUAUCUGUKGGGACCCGAAAGAUGGUGAACUAUGCCUGAAUAGGGUGAAGCCAGCGGAAACACUGGU